CUGGACGUAGUGCAGCGGAUGCACACCUGAAGUGGGAUCAGGAGGUCGCAGGUUCGACCCUUGCCGUCCAGACCA
rnacentral:tRNA from 1 species